UCGUAACAAGGUUUCCGUAGGUGAACCUGCGGAAGGAUCAUUAACAAAUCGUUAGGUGGGGGGAAGCCUGCGAGGGCGUCCCCCACCAUAAUAUUAACCCGACCGCAAGGUCAGGUCAUGUUUAGGGUGUUUAGGGGGGAGGAGAGGGCGAUUCUCUGGGGGAAAGCACUCAGUGUGUGUACCCUAAUAUAGUCUCCCAAGAAGAACCCCUAGCCCCAACAUUAAUGCUUGCAUGUUUGACUGUUUAAUGACAAGAAAUAUAUACAACUUUUAACAAUGGAUCUCUUGGCUCUUGCAACGAUGAAGAACGCAGUGAAAUGCGAAAAGUAAUGCGAUUUGCAUGAAUCUGUGAGUCAUCAAGUUUUUGAACGCACCUUGCACUCUUUGCGCAAGUAAAGAGUAUACCUGUUUGAGAAUCGUAUCCUUCUCGACCCUAGUCUAGAGUUGGACUUGGCCCUUCACACAGCAAGAAGGAGGGAGUCUUGUGGCUCCCUUUGUGUGUGUGUGUGGGCUUGAAUGCAGCAGGCUUGGACUAGACGGGUCGUCUAGACAUUGUGUGAUAGACAAGAUCUCUCUUGUACUCACAAUGCGUCUAGGCGGUCAAACCCGGCUAACCACCAAGCCUCACAAGCAGUGGGGAGGAAGCGUUCGCGCGCUCCCCACCCUUAACCCUCUCAGCGUCGAUCUCAAAUCAGGUAAGGCUACCCGCUGAACUUAAGCAUAUCAGUAGCGGAGGAAAAGAAACUAAMAGGAUUCCCCUAGUAACGGCGAGCGAACCGGGAAGAGCUCAAAUUUAAAAUCUGGUAGGCUCCGUCUAUCCGAAUUGUAAUUUAAAGAGGCGCCAUGUGGGUCGGGUCGGGUGCUCAAGUCCCUUGGAAUAGGGCAUCACAGAGGGUGAGAAUCCCGUCUGGGCAUCUGGCUCCAUCCAGCUUCAUGCGCCCUCUACGAGUCGAGUUGUUUGGGAAUGCAGCUCUAAAUGGGUGGUAAAUUUCAUCUAAGGCUAAAUAAUGGCAAGAGACCGAUAGCGAACAAGUACCGUGAGGGAAAGAUGAAAAGCACCUUGAAAAGGGAGUUAAAUAGUGCGUGAAAUUGUUAAAAGGGAAACGAUUGAGACCAGUAUUGGCAGUGCUGGUAAGUGGCCUUGGGUGGGGGUAGGUUGGGAGUCCAAGAGCAGACUAUGCCUUGGGUCCCUAUCUCUCGCCGUCCAUGGCCAUGUUUUCCGGCACUGGCGAGUCAGCAUCAGUUUGGCUGGCUAGACAAAGGUUGGGGGAAGGUGGGGCGUUAGAGUUUUCUUUCGCUCUUUAUAGACUCCAGCCAACCUAGCCGGCUGGACUGAGGCGAGCAGCUGCGUAAUCAUCAGGUGUGCCUUGUAUCCCAAAGGUCAGGACUACGUGUAGACCAAACCCCCAAGAUCCAUCCCACCCUGAUGCAGUAGUAUCUGGAUGCUGACGAAAUGGUCUUAAACGAC
rnacentral:rRNA from 1 species